AGUGAGGGGUGAGGGGAGCUGGUACAGACAGCAGUACGGACCUCCAGCCUGAGGAGGAGAGGGCGGGGCUCAAGGUCUGUACUGCUGGCCUGGACAUCCCAUGUGUCCACAGGCUUUAGGUCUGUAGGCACUGCUCAGCCUCAGUCUAACCCAAGGAGCCCACCUCAGCCACUAGGGCAGGGAGGGAGUCUGGAGGACAGCAGUCUGCUUCCUACUCUAGCAGGGUUUUGUAUGAACACGGAGUGCUCAGGCAUGCAAAUGCGCCAGGCUAGACCUUCUUUCCAAGGGAACACAUGUCAGCGCAGGUCCACCUACACUUGAGUGAAAAGAUGGAAGGGUGAAUGAAUGAAAAAGUGAAUGAAUGAAUGAAUGAAUGAAUGAACGAAUGAACAUCUCUCCCCUCCUAGGGCUCCCAGGCCUGGCUCCAUUCUCCUCAAGUCUAACUGACUUGGCUCAGUUCUCAGACCUAAGUGGACUCUUCUGCAUGAAAGACGGAAAAGAAAUUCCCCAGACCUCAGCCAAUCAUACCUCCUCCCGGGUCUGCAAUUCCCCCCUCCCCCCUCCCCCCACGUAAGGCAGAAACCUCCAUCACGGCACCACUAGCUUAGAACCCGGGCCUCUGCUCUUCUUCUCACGGGUGCCCCAAAGCAUCCAGAGGGUUCUUGCUAGAAAAACACAUUGGUGACUGGGUGUGGGGGCACAGGCCAGUAAGACCAGCAUCCCAGAAGCUGAUGCAGAAGGAUCAAAAGUUCAAGGCCUGCCCAUCCUGCAUAGCAAGUUCAAAGCCAGCCUGGGUAACUCAGCGGAGACCAUAAACCUCACAGGCAGAGUUCAAUGUCUAACACGGUAAUAAGCAAAUAAGCAAAAAGCCCAGUUCCCCUUAGCCCUCAAGAUGGAGGGUAAGGGCCAGGCUCCGAGGCCUCCCUUCUAGGCUUUCUCCUCCAGAGGGCUGAUUCUCACCCCAUCCCACUGCAGCAGCCUCCACCCCUCCUUAUAGCCUCCCCUGCCCUCCUCCACACUUGCCCCCCUCCCGACGGCAAUCAACUGUUCGGACCAGUUGGAGAACCAGCUACGAAUCCCGGGAUGCUGUCUGCCCCGAGGCCUGGCUCUGCCUUGUGUUGCAGGUGCAUGGUGAGCCUUGCGAUCUGGGCCUGGGUGCAAGACGGAGGCUGCAGGGCAAAGAGCAGUAACGGAGGUUAUGGAGCAUGCUGAGGGUGCCUGACGGCUUCCUGGAAGAAGCCAUUGCUUGGCCCAGCUUCCAGGCUGCCUGACGACGGGAAACAAGCUUUCUGUCCUGAGUUUGAUCUACUAGAGGUUCAGGAAACAGCCACUAACUGGCGAGACUAGUUAGAUUCCUCUAAAUAGUAGUGAUGGUGACUUUCCUUUCGUUUUUUGCAUUUCUCUGCUUUCCGCUAAAAAGAGAAAAAUAAAAAUAAAAAAAUAAAUAAAAAAAAAAAAAAAAAAGGAGGCAGGCUCUCUUUUGAAGGAAAACCAAAGACUAACACUGGGCUGUUCUGCCCUGGUGUUGGUGAGGGAACCCCUGUAUCAGCUGAGCUGGAGAGGCAUGUCUGUCCUGUGGACUCGAGGGCAGAGGCUGGAGUGCCCAGCGACGCUCUGCACUGUUGCCGGGAACUGGAACCCACCCCGACGUCCAUCAACAGUCAAAUGGGCGGCUAGAUUAUGAGAGGCACCCAAGUGACAAGUGACCUCUGAGUAGCCGGGGACCGCCCGAGACAGCACAGCUGGACCUCACAGACAGGACACUGAGCACAAGAAACGCCAUACUACCCAGCAGGUUGCAGGGAAGCCCAGGAAGCCUGGCCUGACCUUGCGCGCCACCCCCAAAGCCGGAGCAGCGAUCCACCGCGAUUAGCAUCUCUCCCGCCGCCCACUGCGAACAAACACCCCUCUGUGAGGUCUCCGGGAGGGCCUGCCGGAAGCAGGAUGUUGACCCGUGGCUCCUCAGGGUGGAUCCAGUCCCAUGUGAGUGGGGAGGGGGGUGCGUCUGCGGGAAGGUGCUGCAGUUACUCCUGUGGCCUUGCUUCCCGGGUUGCAAAUGUUCUGGACUAUUCUGGGCAGCAGUUUUAUUUACAAUAUAGGACUCCCCAGCCUGGGUCUGCUCCAAUGGGUACCCGCUCUGAGCCAGAGAGAAUGAAGCGGGCAGCCCUGGUGUCUGGAGUUAACCGUGCAGAUGCGACCUUUGGUACCACACUGCACAUUGGAGCCAGGUCACAACCAUCACACAGAACUCCCAGACCUUCCCUGGUUGUUGGUGUCCCACUGGACCCCAGAACCCCCACCAGUGGCCUGGGGGAGGGCAGGGCAGGGGACACCACCCAGGUUAGUCAUUCAUUCAGGAGUUUUGUUGGGUCUCUAGGCCCCUCCCAGGAGAAGUUAUUGCCUGUGGGGCUGUCAGUGGAAAGUCCACAGAGAAGCCCAAGUCGGGGCAGUGGCAGAAGGGAUGUGUGAGACCUGGAGGUGGACCCCAAGACAGGGAGGAGGGGCGGGCGGGGGGAAGGGGCUGUGUAUUUGCCAAGGACAGACAAGGCCAAGCUCAGCAUCACAUUCUAAGCCAGCAAAGGCUGUGGCUCUGUAGCAGGGCCUCCCCCAGGAUAGCUUCCAAUGACCUUGCCCCCAGCACAGAGGGCGAAAGUCUCACCCAGUGCCCAUCUGGGUCGUGGACCUGGAGAAGGCUGUGGACAGGUCAGGGGCAGCUGGUUCUGCCUUUUGAGAGGCUUGGGCUCAGUGUGGUAGGAGGACUGGGUAGUUUUUGUUCUGUUGAGACUGGAUCUCACUAAACGGCGUUGGCUGGCUUGGAACGCUACGUAGACCAGGCUGGCCUCAAACUCAUUUGGUCUGCCUGAGUGGUUAAGGACUAGGGCACCACAUGCAGCCUCUGCCACAGUCUUGCCCACCCUGAAACACUGACGGAUAAAUAGGAGGACACCCAGGCCUGUGUACUCACAAUCCCAUUUCUUGAGCCGUGUGUCCCCUGGAUCUGCAUGUCGUCCUUCAUGAGGGGGAAGAAGAGACAGUGAGGAGCAAGCUAGCUGCCUCAGCUCUCUUCAGAACCAACCUUCAACCCCAGGAGAGAUGGACUUGCUGAGGAGCAGAGGUAUCUGCUCAAGGCAGCUGACAGCAAGUCUCUAAGAUUCCACUCUGGCACUGCUUACCUUGCGGGGCGGAGACCCACAAACAUGCCCACCCUGUCUUCUGUCUCAUCUUAAUGGAGGACGCCACCUCCCCCAUCACGGCGAUGGUCAAGCGAUUGGAGAGUGGUACUGGGCCUGGACGCCCCCCAGCUGUAGCCCCUGAGAAGCCCAGGCGGGGAGUUUUCCAAAAGAUGCAGCAAUGAUGGCAGAGCCCUGGAGGAAGGAGGAGCCCGCUGAGUUCCUAAGUGCAGCUUCCCCAGAGGCGGCAGCAGAAAAUUCCUCUGCAACUUCAAAGACCAGAAAUUAUGGUGUGGAUGCUUUCAAAACCCUUAGGCCGAUGUUUGUCUUACCCAUCUCAAAAUCUGCAACUUCAGCAUCAGCCCCAUGCUUGGGUCUCCUGGAUGCCUAGGCUAUAGGCUGCCUUGGUGGAGCUGAGCAAGGGCAUCUUCCUGCCUCUAGCGAAGGGGUGAGGAGAGCCAGGGCAGUGAGAAAGGACAGCAGCCUGGUGGGAAAGGCACUGAAUUAAGAGUCAAAAGUUCCAGGCUCAUCUUCCGGCUUGCUGGCACUUGGAAGGUGAAUACCAAUGUGGCGCCACCUUGUGCUGAAAAGGAAGAAGAACCUGGUCUCGUCAAAGCACAGUGGGUCUUCUUUCCCACCCCUUUCCUGCUCUGGGAGAGGUGGAGACUUACACUCCAAGGACUCUCCCUAACUAAACUUCAUCUCUCAUCCCAUUAUCUCAGCUGCUAAAGGGGCCCUAGGAAGAAGGUGUCUAAAGGUGUUGACACAGAAUGCCUUAUGCUGCCAUUCCUAGUUCUUUGUGAAGUCCUUGGUAGCUUCUCCAAGGAAGCACAGGUGGCCUACACACACACACACACACACACACACACACACACACACACACACACACACACAGACAAAACCUGUCUCCACAGAUGCAGACUAAACCAAAGAGCAUGGAAGGCCAGUAGCUGAAAAUUCACUCCCAAAUUGGACCUCAACCACAAAUCUUUGGGAUGAGCUAAAGAUUGAAGGUAGGCUUGUUGAGAAAGGGCAGUAGGAAAAGAAACUUAGGCAACUGCAUGGAAGGAUACUGGCAUCUUGUUAAUUGUUGAGUAAUACACGAUCUCAUGAGCUAUUGCAACAAAGAAUCUCGAGACCAUCACUGUGGUGCUGAUGAAAAACAACAACAACAACAACAACAACAACAACAACCCAGUUUCUGAACAGUUACUCCAUUUUUGGUUGUCUGCACCUGCUAAUAUCUCCAAAGAUGCAAUUUUGCCUUCUUGCUUGGGCAGAGUAAUGCUAAGCUUUCAUAUCCUAUCAAAAGCAUAGACGUCUCCUGGACACCAUUUCCCGCUCUGUUGUGCAUUUGAUGUUAGUGUUUUACUUAGUUCUGUGUCUGUUCUCCACUCGUUCAUGUGCUGAGCUUGGCUUUGUUAUUAUAGGCAACAGGUAUCAGGCAUGUUGAAUGGCGUCUAUUGUCAACUUUACCACUGUUUCCAUGCUCCUCUCUGUCUGCAUGGAAAUGGAAUUAGCUCUUAGAGUAAUGUAAAACAUAGUCUUCCUGUGUUUAAUUUUCA